AGAGCGAACGCUGGCGGCAGGCUUAACACAUGCAAGUCGAGCGGGCGUAGCAAUACGUCAGCGGCAGACGGGUGAGUAACGCGUGGGAACAUACCUUUUGGUUCGGAACAACCCAGGGAAACUUGGGCUAAUACCGGAUAAGCCCUUACGGGGAAAGAUUUAUCGCCGAAAGAUUGGCCCGCGUCUGAUUAGCUAGUUGGUGAGGUAACGGCUCACCAAGGCGACGAUCAGUAGCUGGUCUGAGAGGAUGAUCAGCCACAUUGGGACUGAGACACGGCCCAAACUCCUACGGGAGGCAGCAGUGGGGAAUAUUGGACAAUGGGCGCAAGCCUGAUCCAGCCAUGCCGCGUGAGUGAUGAAGGCCCUAGGGUUGUAAAGCUCUUUUGUGCGGGAAGAUAAUGACGGUACCGCAAGAAUAACGCCCCGGACUAACUUCGUGCCAGCAGCCGC
rnacentral:rRNA from 1 species